GUUUUAUUUUUUAAAGGAGCCGCCCGCUGUGAGCCUUCAUGUGGUGCAAAGGCCGCCACACUGAACUCACAGACCUCCCUGAGCUGCACGGUCGGUCGAUCUCCAGGAACUCUGCGCCACUGGCAGUGUCUUCUGUUGGAUACUCCGGCUGUGACCCUCUUGUCCAUCUGCUUUUACUUUGCAGGAGGCAGAAAACGUGGUCUCAAGCACUGACCUCCAUCUGGAAUCAACUGUUUGAGCUUGUUCAGUAACAAUAUCACCCUUACAGGACAAGGUCAAUAACAAUUACAACUGAAAUAAGAUUAAGAUUGCACAGCUGGGCCCUCCAUCUGUACUGAGGCAGCAGAGUACAUUGACGACUGCUGCUCAGAAUCUCCCAAAAGUGUUAAUUGGAAACCAAAUCUCACCUUGGCUGCAGCAUCCCAUAAGGAUGAAAGCAUCAACAGUGGAACCAUAUGCUCUCUUAAUAGUGGCACACAAUAAACUCUACAGCUGAGCAAAUCAGUGUUUCUAUAUUGAAAAGGUAUCAAAUACAUGAUGGGAAAGUUGUUGAUUUUAGUGACAAACACAGACAAUGGAGAGCUUUAGCAUCUUUCAGCUCAUUGUUUUGGUUUCAUGACCCUAACUCAGGUAUCUUUGUUCACUUUCUCAUCUGCUGCAGCACCAGCAGGUGUUUUCAGGAUAAACCUACGAUUGUAUUUUACCUGACAAUCAUCAAAUGGCAGAGAGACAAGGUAAAAAAAGAGUUAGUAUGGGACUUAUGUUCAUCAAGUUGACAUGAGCAUAACUCCAUAGAAGUACUGAUACUGGUCAAUUGCUGAGAUUUUCACCAUAACAACCUUAUGAAAAUGUCAAUAUUUAUUGACUGCCAAGUCACAAUAAAUGAUAACUGCAUCUUUAGGCUUGUACAGGAUCCAUUAAGGUGGUUUUAAUGUUCCAGAUCUUUCUUCUAUGCUGGUAAAUUAUCUCUACACAUAAUGUAUGUUCUCUUCCGACUCUUAUGCAUGACACGUUCCAGGUUAUGUUUCAUCAUUUCAUUGCUACUACAAGUACAUUUUGCCCUCUUCCAGGCUCUUCUUGACUCUACUUUAGCCACUGUGUCGUCCAUUUUCACAUAGUGUAUCUUUAAAUAAUCCAUGCUGUGUUUUCUAUAAAGUGUGUAUUUGCUUCUUUAAUCACCUUUCUUUGCCUGUUUUUGUGAAGUUGACCUUAUACCCAUACCUGUGCAAACCACAAUAAAUCUCAUCUCAUCCACCUCA